UCUUUAUGUUUAAUUAUGAUUUAAUUUUUUUUGUUAUGUGUUUUAUUUAAGUUUUAAGGUUUACAUGUGUUAUGUUUUAUUUUUGCAUUUGUUAAGUUUUAUUUUGUUUAGUUAAAUGUUUACAUUGUUUAAUGUAUAAAUUGUUUAAACUAUGUUUAUUUUUCUAUUAUUUCAGGUUCGUAAGCUGCGUGUUGUAAAACCGAUUAAUCAUGGGGCUAAGAUUUUGAGUCUCGGACGUCAAAAUGGGAAUCAGGAUUGGUUUUGGGAUCCGCUUAG
rnacentral:lncRNA from 1 species